rnacentral:misc_RNA from 1 species
GAUGAAGAACGCAGCGAAAUGCGAUAAGUAAUGCGAAUUGCAGAAUUUCCGUGAGUCAUCGAAUCUUUGAACGCACAUUGCGCCCAUUGGCAUUCCGAUGGGCAUGCCUGUUCGAGCGUCAUUUCAACCCUCAAGCCCAUCUGGACUUGGUGUUGGGGAUCAGCUUUCCCUGUGGGAGCUGGCCCUUAAAUCUAGUGGCGGUCUCGCUGUAGCCUCCUCUGCGUAGUAGCAAUAUCUCGCAGGCGGAGAGCGGCUUGACCACGCCGUUAAACCCCCAAUUUAUCAAGGUUGACCUCGGAUCAGGUAGGAAUACCCGCUGAACUUAAGCAUAUCAAUAAGCGGAGGA